UUGAUGGCAUUGUUGUGAAACGCAGCUUCUGUAAACUUUAGAGGCGAUACGGAGAACUUGUUACGUGAGAACUUCUGGGCAUUUGAAGUGGAUGAGAUGUUCUGGGGUUCUGAGAAAGAGGAUAUGAGUAGGGGGAAACAGUAACAGAAGAGCUGCUUAGAUAUCAUAAUUAUAGAACCAAUCACAAUGCGAUAUGUUAGCUUUGAUCAUGCUUUAUCAUAGAUAUAAAAACAUCUAGGCUCACGAGUCUCUGCUGCAUCUACUGUAAGGAGGGUCCAGGCUGUGAAUGAACUCAAGACAAAGUAAAGAAAAGGGAAACCAACAAGGUCAUCAGACAAACUUACUGUGCACAGACCUCCAAAGAUGCCUUUUCCGUUUUUAAGCCUAUUUCAGGGCCAUCUGGCCAAGAUGAGCAUUGUGACUUCAAUUGCACUAAGCUUUUUGUUAAUUGGUUUGCAGGCAAUUAUGGAUGCAAAAUUUGUGUGCCCGUGCAUGCUUUUGUGGAAUAAAAUUAUAUCAGCUUUUAUUUGCAUUACUCCCGCCAUCUUUGCUACAGUUGUAAUGGUCUUAUUUAUAAUGCCUUCUGAAGAUACAAAUCGUCGUAAAGCUUUCUUUUCAAGUUUUAUUCCAGCUCUUGUCUGGAUCUGUAUAUUUUUCAUUGAUGGCGAUUAUCUUGCAUGUGGACUAACAUUCUGGGAUGGACAAUAUACCUGUGAAAAAGAAAAAUGUUUCAAUUGGUGCAAACCCUACAAUUUGACUAUGGUCGAGACUUAUUAUGGCACAGCACAAACGUUCAUUUCUAUAUCAAAGACUGCAGGUUAUGGUCUGGCUGCUUUGUUGAGCAUCAUUAUAAUAACCGUAGCUGUGUGCUGUGACUGCUGCAGAAGUAGAACCACAGAACCACAGAACCAGAGGCCCACUAACUCAAUGGAGAUGAGCAACCAGCAGGACACAAGAAAUUAAACCGUGACAUGAAAUAGCAUCAGCUCUUGGGAACUUUUUGAAAGAGCCAUCCCAGCAGGCACAAAAUUCAACAUAAAUUCAACGUCUUAUGUCAAUGUUAAAUUGACGUCCGAUACAGACAACAGAUGACGUUGAUAUUCACUGUUUUUAGACUGUGUUACCAAAAUAUUGGCCCAAACAUAAUUCACCCAAAAAUGAAAAUUCCAUCGUCAUUUAGUCAUCCCGAGUGGCUCCGAACCUGUAUGACUUUUUUUGUUUUGCCGAAUACAAAGGAAGAUAUUUUGUAACCAGGCUGUUUUUGGUCAACAUUGACUUCUAUAUUAUUCUUUUGCUGCUAUCGAAGUCAAUGGUGACCCAAAACUGCCCUUCAAAAUAUCUUCCUUUGUGUUUGGCAGAAAGAAAUUCAUACAGGUUUGGAACUAAAAUUUUCAUUUCCAUGGGUGAACUAUCCCUUUAAGAAACAUACACACACACACAUACACACACGCACACACACACACACAGUAACAACAUUCAGUUUCAAUAUUUAUUGCAAAUAUUAAACCAAAAGUAGAAUUCAUGAAAGCUUUGUUUUAGAUAAUUACAAAAAUGUACUCCAUAUCAGAACAUUUGCAAAGAUUCAAAUGCUGCUUCCUGUUGUUUGCUAGCAUUACGUACAUCUUGUCAAAGAGAUAAUAAACAUAUUUUGAGUUUCCCAAGCUGCCGUCGAUUAAUGAAGGUUUGAAGAAAGAACUUGCAGUUAAAUUGGACUAAAUCGGGAAGUGCCAAGACUUUUUUACCGACGUCUUUGAUAUUACUUUGGUUGCUGUUUCUUGACUCCCAUUGCACUUUCAUACAGACAAAAUUCGAAACGCACCUGGAAGCUGCUGUGUGAACGAGACUCAGACCUUUAAAGAAAAUACGGUUGUCAAUCCCAAAUAAAGGACUGACAACCGUAUUCUGCAAAGAGGUGGAGUUUUGUGAAAGUUUUUAUUGCGUCCAGCCAUUCCAAAGGACUUUGGUGCAGCAGACUUUGACAGAAGCAUACAGUGAAAGUGACUAAGGGGGAUCUGUCAACCAAAUAAAGACCCUGUGCACCGGAUUACGGAAUACAAGAGAUCAUUGUCAAAAGAAGCAUCGUCAAACUUCCCUCAUAAGAUGCCGUUGCCACAAGAUCUUUUGAAGAAACUACAUCUAAAUUCCUGAAAUCUGUUGUUUUCAGCACUUUUCCAUUGAGCUUUUUGUUAAUCGGAUUGGAGGCACUGAUCGAUCAUCACUUCAUGUGCCCAUGAGGACCCUUUUUUUAAUAAACUGCUAACAGCAUUCAUCUUUAUUGGACCUGCUCUUUUUAGUUUUUUUAAUGGUCCUCCGUUUAAGGCCUUCCAGACAUGGAUGGUUUCAUUGCCUUGAAGGAGUAGACGUUGAUACUCAGCAAAACUAGCCCAAAGCUCUCAUAUCUUCUGAUUCCACCCGUGAUGUGGAUCUUCUUGUUGUUACUUGAUGGUAAACACCUUGCUUGUGCCAACACAUUCUGGCAAGGAGAUUAUGUUUUUGAUACGGUUUGAAAUUGGUCUUGGUGUAAACCACUUUUUGAUGAUCUCAUCUCUUUUGAGGAUUUUCUUGCCUUUAUUGGAUUGUCUCAGUUUUUGAGAUAUGUUUGCAUCACUGUCUUCAGUGCCUUGGCAAUUGUCUUGGUAUGUGUCUUGGUCUGCUGCAUCAGUGGAAAAUGUGACUGCUGCUGUUAUGAACUGUUAUGCUUCUGUGGACGAAGAGUGCCACCACCCUCCGAGCCACUAAAUACACACAGGGAAGACAUCAGCGGACAACAGGUUAAUUUACAGCUUCAAGUUCUCACUGGCACCACCUCCAGCCAUACAGACCCAAAUGUGAAAUACAUUUUAUAUCAUUAUUUAAACAGCUUCUAAACAUAUACUCUCACAUAGUGACUCAAAAUAUGAACUUAAAGAUGAAUAUUUAAUGCACUAAUUAUGCAUUUGUAAUGCACUUUAUAAUGCAUUGUAUAAUAUAAAGAAUAUUUGCGACUACAGUUAAAGUGAUAGCAAAACUACAAUGUACAAUUGCAGAUCCAGAAACGCUUCCGUUUCAUGUAACAAACUUAAUUUUCUCUUUGUAUCAUUCAUUGAUAACCUCAUACUACUGGAUUAUACUCAUAACAUCAUGCAGUAUAUCAAACAAAUCAUGCAUAUAAAAUCAUAACAACACAGGUGCAUAUUCAAUUUUGUGGUAGCUGGGCUAGCCAGCAGAGGGGGCCCUCACCGGAGUACUAGCAGUACUCCACUCCCUCGGCUUUCUUCUACAGUCAUUUCCUGUUUGGGGCUUUAUACCCAGAAGCCCUUCUCAGACCCAGUAUUGCCAGUUUACCUGCCUUACCAAGUCUUCUCUGUUCUAAUCUUGACUGUUACCAUCUGUAUGAUCUCUGCCUGUUUCUUUGACCCUCGAUUCACGAACCUGCCCAUUGGACACAUUGCUAUGAUUGGACUGCCUUUCUGGUUUAGACUCACUGCCUGCCUUGUUUCUCUUGUCUCUUGGAUUAUCCCUGUGUUUGUCGAAAGAUCGGACUGCCUCUUUGUUAUUGACCCACUGCCUGUCUUAUCAUUUAUGAUUAUUGCUGCUUCCCAUUAUAAUAAACAUCUGAAAAAAAUGGCUUGUACGUCAGCUCCCGCAU